GCUGUGAGUCCCACAGGAGACAGGCUGUACAUCACCAACUGGCACAAGCUUCUCACCCUGGCCAGGGAUGGCACACUCCUGGCUACAUACACAGACCCAGCACUAGUGCGCCCACGUGGUCUACAUGUGACCCCUGCAGGCCAGGUGCUGGUCUGUGGAUACCUGUCCCACACUGUACUACAGGUGGGCUGGGAGGGAGAGAGUAAGCUGGCUAAUCUUGCUACUUGGGAAGAUGGAGUGGUGUGGCCAUGGUCAGUCUGCUACAGCAGCACCACAUCAUCCAUCAUUGUGGGACUGUAUGGGGACAACAUCCUGGUGUUCAGAGUGGAAUAGUGUGUACAUUGGCUGCUGAGUCAGGACAAGGUUGCUGAGGAUGUGGUGGACAAGGAUGACCUGAAUACACAGAAGGUGCUUGACCAAAUACAAGAGGCCGUCCCAUCAAUCAGUCAUCAAAGUCAGUUGAGAUGGACCAGAACAAGGCAGAAACUCAGCAACAUUUUACGCACUCAACUGCUCAGCACAGAAGACUACUGUCUGGUGAAAGGAUCGGCUGUAUCAAAGUCCUGUGAUAUGGGGGGACUUGGUCGUUCCAUGUGUGGGGAUUGCAUCAUGAAGGACAUUUUAGAUGACACUCACAAGGUGAGCAGGAGCAUUGUUAUUGAGUUGACAUGGCAACGGCACCAGUCGGACCCCCAGGAGCCUCAGUCCAGGACAACCCUUCCCCUCCACUGAUCCCUAGCUCCUCCCCUUUGACCUCCUGCUUCAAAGCUUCAUUGAACAAUAACGGUCUGCUGGAAUAUCUGAGCAUGUUGAG